UCCACCCCUUCCCCACUGGCAUCAUUCUGGGAGUGGUGGCCGUCUCCCUCCUCCUCCUGGCUGCAGCCACCUACUGUGCUGUGAAGAAAGGGGCCUGCAGAGAGAGAUGCCAAAGAUGUCAACAUUCAUAAAACGGGCAGAGUUGAGGCUGGCCCAAGGGCCUGUAACCAUGAUGGGCACCAGGAGGGUGAGGCUGCUGUCUUUGGCAUUUUGAAGGUCUCCAGACAAAACUGCUCCGAAGCUUCACUGUACGCCAACUUAUGAGAAGGGGAGAGGUGAUGCAGACGGUUUCUGAUAAAUCCCACCCAAGAAACAUCUCUCAAUGGAUCCUUGUUGGUUCUCUCUCCCCUCCAUAAGGACUUCUGGAAAUUUGCUGGACAUUUCUGGAUGGGGGAUCAGGAAUGGAACUUCAUGGGCUACAAUUCUC